rnacentral:rRNA from 1 species
UACAGAGGUCUCAAGCGUUGUUCGGAUUCAUUGGGCGUAAAGGGUGUGUAGGUGGCGCCGUAAGUCGGGUGUGAAAUUUCGGAGCUUAACUCCGAAACUGCAUUCGAUACUGCGGUGCUUGAGGACUGGAGAGGAGACUGGAAUUUACGGUGUAGCGGUGAAAUGCGUAGAUAUCGUAAGGAAGACCAGUGGCGAAGGCGGGUCUCUGGACAGUUCCUGACGCUGAGGCGCGAAGGCCAGGGGAGCAAACGGG